rnacentral:rRNA from 1 species
AUUGAACGCUGGCGGCAUGCUUUACACAUGCAAGUCGAACGGUAACAGGCCGCAAGGUGCUGACGAGUGGCGAACGGGUGAGUAAUGCAUCGGAACGUGCCCAGUCGUGGGGGAUAACGCAGCGAAAGCUGCGCUAAUACCGCAUACGAUCUACGGAUGAAAGCGGGGGACCGAAAGGCCUCGCGCGAUUGGAGCGGCCGAUGUCAGAUUAGGUAGUUGGUGGGGUAAAGGCUCACCAAGCCAACGAUCUGUAGCUGGUCUGAGAGGACGACCAGCCACAAUGGGACUGAGACACGGCCCAGACUCCUACGGGAGGCAGCAGUGGGGGAUUUUGCACAAUGGGCGCAAGCCUGAGCCAGCAAUGCCGCGUGCAGGAAGAAGGCCUUCGGGUUGUAAACUGCUUUUGUACGGAACGAAAAGGCUCUGGUUAAUACCUGGGGCUCAUGACGGUACCGUAAGAAUAAGCACCGGCUAACUACGUGCCAGCCGCCGCCGUAACAC